AGUUGCCUUGGUCAUGGUGUCUGUUCACAGCAGUAAAACCCUGACUAAUACACAGACUAAUAGCCAAGAAAGAUGACAACACAGGGCCACACAGACUGUGUCCUUAUUGCUAAGAUGAAGCCAACCAAGAUUCCAGAGCGCAGUGGUGUUCAGUCACAAACAGGAAGCACUGAGAUCGACCACAGCACACAUGACAGGAACCUUUGGAGCUCAGGGGAAAAAGCCAGACCCAAGAGACCACUCUGCAUGCAGUAAAUUGUCUGGAUCCCCAAACUUUCCGGGGCCAGAGGGUUGACUAGCAGAUGUUUAGAAAGCUGGGAGAGAUGUUCAAUGUCAGAUUUCUUUUUGGGGUGGUGACUUUGUUUUGAAGUUGAACAUGGUGACCGAUCCACCGCUGUGAAACCACUGGUAGCCAAUUAACUGUGAGUCAGCUGGGUGCCUGUGUGCCUGAGAGCUGAGGCUGAGUACAGCUUCCUGGGACCUGAGGUGGCUGAGGCCCUGAGACGGUCUGGGGUGCAGUCAGGUGUUUGGGGUACAGCUCUGCUGCUCUACAGAUCACUGGAGAGUGAGGGGCCCCCAGCCUAGCCUUUCCCUGGGGCACCACACCCUACUCUAUUCCACUGUGAAUCGCAGGGGAGAAAGGACCCCAUUUUCCUUCACAGAGCCACAUCCAGCCUGCCCGCCUCCCUCUCUCCUGCCUCCACCCACUGAGGAGAUGGCACAGGGUGGCUGCCAGUCAGACACAAGCUCCAUUAAGUACAAGUGAGGAGGAACCAGCAGUCAGGCGACCCGCUUGCCCCUGUGUAGGCAGGGGCUCACUUGCCUCUGGGGACAGAGCUAAAGAUAGCGCUCCAGGGAGCAGCUGUAAUUCUGUGUGUGCACCCCCUUCCCCCUCUCUCCCUGCCCCUCCUUCAUCCUCUACCUUUUUCACCCCCCCCCCCACCUCCUUACUCUUUCUUCUCCCGAUUUCUGCCCUGACCCUCCUUUUUUGGAGCCUCUUUUCUAUUUUUUCCUCCUGAACCUGGGAAAUGGAGACUAAACAAGUCAAGAUUAACCCUAACAGUUCUGCAUGCUGGGUUUCUCACCCUGAUGAGACUGAAGUAAGGGGCCAUGAACAGGCACAGUUUAUCACCCCCCCCCCCAAUAGCCUAAUAUGUCUGGCUUAGCCAGACCUUGAGCAGCUGGUGAAACCUCCUUCUAGAUGCCCACUAGACAAAGCGGUCCGGUCUGAUCCUGUUAUUGUGGGACCACCCCCCAUCCCCACAGCACAGUCCAUUGUACCUCCAGGGACUGUGGGUCCUCAGGGCACAGUGCUCCCCCUGGGUUCUCACCACCAUUCUGAGGCUCUGUCCCAUGAGGGCUUUCUGUGCUAGGGGAGGAAUUAGUGUCUAUAUCCUUGUCUGGGAUCUGGGGUAUGGAGUGGAGAAUGUCCAACCUCCCCCCACCCCCCCCAGGUCUUGUGAUAGUCUGGCUUUUGGCCUGGCCAUGCUGUGGGCUGGGCUGAGCUGACAUGCCAAGUGUCCAUUUGCAGGGGUCAUGUAGUCCUGGCUCACAGAGAGCCUUGGGUAGUGUCCUGCGGGAACCACGUUCACCCACUUCCCCAGGCUACUGCUUUCUUGACAACAAGGGCUCAGCAGGUGUAAUGAAGGCAGGAGUGAAGGUGGAGCAGAGUGGGUGGGACCUAAUCUGAGGCAGGCAGGGAGGAGGCAGGCCAGGAGAGGCACAGGAGAGAGCCUGCGGGGAUGAAGGCAGACUGCUGCCUGGGCGAGUCCACACAGGGGAGAGUUGGAAAUGGAGAGCCAGAGACUCACAGGGAGAGACAGGAGUGAUGUGGUCGAGGACCAAGGAAACCCGGUCUUCUGGGAGCCGAGAGAGGCAGGAUGGAGAACCGCUUCCGCCCCGCCUCCUCCCUCGCCCCGCUCUGCUCCCCCCAUCCGCGUCCCUGGGGAGGACUCCGGGGCGGGACACAGAUCUACCACACUUAGAGUUUUCAUAUCUGCAGAGAAGCACCUCAGUUUUUAGUCAUUUUUAUAGGUGCCUCAGGGAACUUAGGACUGUGUGUAGAGAGCCAAGUCACUGACCUAAGCCUGCCUCACCUCCCUGUGUAUUUCUGUCGCUAAUGGAGUCCCUAGCUCGUGCUCCCCUGUACAACACUGGACCGACGUUCUCUGUUCCCUGGAAAACUUUAGAUGCUGGCUAAUUUCUGGAAUAUGCUAAAACUUACUAUAUCAGAA